CACCCUGUCAGUAUGUAUAUAUGUAUGUGCACCUUCAUGUGUAGUAAGAUCAUGUACCUACAAUACACACCUACACAAACUGAGCCUGUAGAGACAAACCAUCAGUCUGACGGGGCUGUGCAGCUUCCUCAUGCCUUCAGCAUUUUAUUCACACAGGCAGGAUUCCAGGAGCCGGCGUGGAGGAAAAACAGCAGAUGGACGCUGGAGGUUUCUGCAGAUGUGGUGACUGUAAGGAACGGAAUGAUCCAGCAGUGAAGUGGUGGAUGGAGCAGGUUAAUAUGGCCAGACGAUCGAUGAUGAUGAUGAUGAUGAUGAUGAUGAUGAUGCCACGCCCACAGACAAGGAAAGGAGCAGCAGGAAGACAUGUGGUCCUGGAGCCAGAAGACUGAUGCAUUUCACCAUCUCCUCAUUAACCUCCUCAUGAGACAGAGUUGAGUCAAACAGACCAGGAGUGUCGACCACAACGACUGGACGACCGUUUACUACAGUCU